rnacentral:rRNA from 1 species
GAUGAACGCUGGCGGCGUGCCUAAUACAUGCAAGUCGAGCGAACGGACGAGAAGCUUGCUUCUCUGAUGUUAGCGGCGGACGGGUGAGUAACACGUGGAUAACCUACCUAUAAGACUGGGAUAACUUCGGGAAACCGGAGCUAAUACCGGAUAAUAUUUUGAACCGCAUGGUUCAAAAGUGAAAGACGGUCUUGCUGUCACUUAUAGAUGGAUCCGCGCUGCAUUAGCUAGUUGGUAAGGUAACGGCUUACCAAGGCAACGAUGCAUAGCCGACCUGAGAGGGUGAUAGGCCACACUGGAACUGAGACACGGUCCAGACUCCUACGGGAGGCAGCAGUAGGGAAUCGUCCGCAAUGGGCGAAAGCCUGACGGAGCAACGCCGCGUGAGUGAUGAAGGUCUUCGGAUCGUAAAACUCUGUUAUUAGGGAAGAACAUAUGUGUAAGUAACUGUGCACAUCUUGACGGUACCUAAUCAGAAAGCAACGGCUAACUACGUG